rnacentral:rRNA from 1 species
GACGAACGCUGGCGGCGUGCUUAACACAUGCAAGUCGAACGGAAAGGCCCUGCUUUUGUGGGGUGCUCGAGUGGCGAACGGGUGAGUAACACGUGAGUAACCUGCCCUUGACUUUGGGAUAACUUCAGGAAACUGGGGCUAAUACCGGAUAGGAGCUCCUGCUGCAUGGUGGGGGUUGGAAAGUUUCGGCGGUUGGGGAUGGACUCGCGGCUUAUCAGCUUGUUGGUGGGGUAGUGGCUUACCAAGGCUUUGACGGGUAGCCGGCCUGAGAGGGUGACCGGCCACAGUGGGACUGAGAUACGGCCCAGACUCCUACGGGAGGCAGCAGUGGGGAAUAUUGCACAAUGGGCGGAAGCCUGAUGCAGCCACGCCGCGUGCGGGAGGACGGCCUUCGGGUUGUAAACCGCUUUCGCCUGUGACGAAGCGUGAGUGACGGUAAUGGGUAAAGAAGCACCGGCUAACUACGUG